ACGAACGCUGGCGGCAUGCCUAACACAUGCAAGUCGAACGAGACCUUCGGGUCUAGUGGCGCACGGGUGCGUAACGCGUGGGAACCUGCCCUUAGGUUCGGAAUAACUCCCCGAAAGGGGUGCUAAUACCGGAUAAUGUCUUCGGACCAAAGAUUUAUCGCCUUUGGAUGGGCCCGCGUUGGAUUAGCUAGUUGGUAGGGUAAAAGCCUACCAAGGCGACGAUCCAUAGCUGGUCUGAGAGGAUGAUCAGCCACACUGGGACUGAGACACGGCCCAGACCCCUACGGGAGGCAGCAGUGGGGAAUAUUGGACAAUGGGCGAAAGCCUGAUCCAGCAAUGCCGCGUGAGUGAUGAAGGCCUUAGGGUUGUAAAGCUCUUUUACCCGGGAUGAUAAUGACAGUACCGGGAGAAUAAGCUCCGGCUAACUCCGUG
rnacentral:rRNA from 1 species